GCCUAGUUAGCUCAGUUAAUAGCGCGUCUGCCUUGUAAGCGCUUGGCCGCGGGUUCGAUUCCCGCCCGGGGCG
rnacentral:tRNA from 1 species